rnacentral:rRNA from 1 species
UACGUAGGCAGCGAGCGUUGUUCGGAGUUACUGGGCGUAAAGGGUGUGUAGGCGGUUCUUUAAGUUUGGUGUGAAAUCUCCCGGCUCAACCGGGAGGGUGCGCCGAAUACUGAGGGACUUGGAGUGCGGGAGAGGAAAGUGGAAUUCCUGGUGUAGCGGUGAAAUGCGCAGAUAUCAGGAGGAACACCGAUGGCGAAGGCAGCUCGCUGGGACGGUACUGACGCUGAGGCGCGAAAGCGUGGGGAGCAAACAGG